GGGGCUGACUUGGAUUUCGACAGAUUUCUUGUCGCACAGAUAGCAUGCCAAGCGCUACUUGUAAAACAGCAACAAAAAUAACUGUAAACAACGCAGAUUACGCUCCAGCUUACGCUAAAGCUGCGUGAGUUAAUCUCCUUUUGGAGCUGGACUGAUUAGAAUUUCUAGCGUUUUAAUCACUCCAUAACCUUAAGCUAGACGCUUUUAAAAGGUGGUUCGCCUUUUAAACUAAGAAACAAGAACUCUUGAAACUACCUCAAGGUUUUAGAAAGUUGGACCAGAGCUAGUUUUAAGGCUAAAAAACCAACCAAUUUUCUAAGCAUUGUAGAAGUUUGUGUUUAGGGCAAGAUUUUUGGACUGGGGUUCGAUUCCCCACAGCUCCACCA
rnacentral:tmRNA from 1 species